rnacentral:rRNA from 1 species
GUAGGUGGCAAGCGUUGUCCGGAAUUAUUGGGCGUAAAGCGCGCGCAGGCGGUUCUUUAAGUCUGAUGUGAAAGCCCACGGCUCAACCGUGGAGGGUCAUUGGAAACUGGAGAACUUGAGUACAGAAGAGGAAAGCGGAAUUCCACGUGUAGCGGUGAAAUGCGUAGAGAUGUGGAGGAACACCAGUGGCGAAGGCGGCUUUCUGGUCUGUAACUGACGCUGAGGCGCAAAAGCGUGGGGAGCAAACAGGGAUUAGAUACCCUGGUAGUCCACGCCGUAAACGAUGAGUGCUAAGUGUUAGGGGGUUUCCGCCCCCUUAGUGCUGCAGCUAACGCAUUAAGCACUCCGCCUGGGGAUACGGCCGCAAGGCUG